rnacentral:rRNA from 1 species
UGGGGAAUAUUGCACAAUGGGCGAAAGCCUGAUGCAGCAACGCCGCGUGAGUGAUGAAGGUCUUCGGAUUGUAAAGCUCUGUGCUUUUCAGGACGUAAUGACGGUACCAAAGGAGGAAGCCACGGCUAACUACGUGCCAGCAGCCGCGGUAAUACGUAGGUGGCGAGCGUUGUCCGGAUUUACUGGGCGUAAAGGGUGCGUAGGCGGAUGUUUAAGUGAGAUGUGAAAUACCCGG